rnacentral:lncRNA from 1 species
AUGCUACUUUGCACUUCUGAAAAUUACAGGUUUAGUGAUGAAAAUGGUGUUAUUGCAAUAUUUUCAUUAUUUGAUUUGUUUCUUUCAGUGCCAGUGAUGCUCUUAAAGGAGAAGGUUUGCAGGAAGGUGUGGACUGGCUCCAAGAUCAAAUCACACAAUCAGAUGCAAGCAAUGAAGACAUGAGAGAUAAAUAAAAGAUUUAUGGUGUUUUCUCUGCUGCUUUGUUAGCAACUGACCAGUUCUUGGAAAGGAAGAAAGGCUUAAAGAAAAUGGAACACUUCAGCUAAAUAUUCUGUGAUGAUUUGUUUCCUUUUAGUAUCUCUUCCAGAAAAAGUAAAUAUAGAUAACAUAGUAUCUCAGGUACACACAUCCAUGAAUUAAAUUGAACUGUGUGAUGGGGGAGCAUAUUUAAAACCAAAAAUGUGUAAGUAAUAAGCAUCUGCAUUCAUUUGAGUUUCUGGUGAUAAUUAGCCAUGGGGCAGUACGCCACUUCUGGGGGGAAAACAACUUUUGAACAAAUGGGAGUAUUUAUAUUCCUGAGGAAGAGUAGUCAGUACUUCCUGAAAUGAAACUAUACGAAAUACCUAAAAUAGAGUUCCUACAAACAGUAGGGUUUUUUUAAUUGAAAGUUUUGACAUUGAGAUUUUUUUUCAAGUAACGAUCUGCAGUAGACUACAAGAAGAAUAUUUUGAGGUUAACGUGAGUUCACAUGUUAAAUGCAGCUUUUACAAAUGACUGCAGAUGUUUUAAGGAAUUUCUCAUUAUCAAAUGUUACAAGCUUUUUCUGUGCUAUGUCAUGGUUGUAUUUGCAUUCCCAUCAAUAAAACUUCAGAUAUACGACAUGUCAUGUUUUUGCUUUUUUAGACAUAAAUAUGUUCAUUGAUGGUCUCGAUAUCUCGACAUGAUAGAGAAAUUUGCUUUUCAGAUAAUCUCAUUUGGAUUUUUUGUCCAUUUUUAAAUGCAAAUAGGAUUUUAUAAUAAAGCAGUUACCUCUUUUUUUUUUUUUAAUUGCAUACAAUUCAUCUUUCUAAUAAGCAAGACUGCAGUUUCAGGUGUUUAUGGAGCAUAUGACUGAAAAUUAUAUUUUGAAAAUACAGUUAAGAGGCACUAGUCUACUAGAUCACUAAAAUUUAAUAUGUAUUAUACCUGUCUUGUGCAUAAAAACUAUUUUACUUUCAAGAAUGACUUUAAUAAACUUUCUGACUUCAAAGAUACACUCUAGGUAACAAAUUAAGCCUAGAUAUAGGCUAUAAUAGCACUUUAUUUUUGUCAUGCCGCCUCUUCCCAUUUUAAUGCCUAUUCCCAUUAUUCCCAUGAUUUAAUGCCUAUUCUGAUUAACAGGACAACUUGCACUGGGAGUGAUGAAGGUGAUUCUUUACUGUAUUUUGCUCCCACUACCUGAUUACUGUGGGAGAUGCAAUAUGUAAGGGAAAAAGUUUUUGCAAAACCUAUGUUAACAUUUAAAACACAGAAAUGUUCUGUAAGCAAUGCAUUUUAUGGCUCACUUAAUAGAGGAAUAUUUGGAGCAAAGGGAACUACCUGAAAUGGUAAAACUUUCAAGUAUUUUCAGCUUUAUUAAACAGCUAAUUCUAAGUCACUUGCUCUGCUCAAAGGAAUGCUUACUGUAAAAAUCUUUCUUACAGGAUACGAUUUUUCUGACAGUUGUUUGUCAUGAAAAUAUUUGAUCUUGAGGCCCGUUUCUGUGCCACCUUUGGCCUUCUGUCAACUCUGCAUCUCAAAUGUACAUAAUUAAAUAUGAAAAAGGAAAACUCAUGUAUAACUCUGAGAGGUUUUACUAACUUGGAAUUUUGUGGCAAAUAACUUUUGGUUUACUUUGCAUUGGAUAUUAUGGUAAAAGUACUUGUUGGAAGCAUUUUUUCAUAGUAUAAAUAUUUUGUAAUUACAAAAUAAUUCUGGUUCACUUAAAUGACUUAUUUAAAUGAGAUAUUUAAUUUUAAGUUGGCAUUAUUUUUUUUCUCUACUACAGCAAGAUUUGAAUUCUUAAAUAAAACCUAUCUCCAUUUCUGCUUUUAUUGAAUUUUAUUCUGUACAUGGACCUUAAUGUCUUGCUGAUAACUUCCUACUUAUUUAUAUUGGACCACACAAAGUACUGUGUUUUUCUUAUGGAUUGCCUUUAUUUUCAUGGGAAGCUGUUUGAACUUAGAGCUUUGUUCUUUCACCCACAAAUCUGAGGGAAGUACCCUGUUACCUUCUACAUUUUGCUUUCCGAUGCAGUUAGUAAGCUCUUUGAAAACAGCAUUUACGUUGGUUAUGAUGAUUACUGUUCCUCCUUUUUUU